AACUGCUCGAGUUCCUGGAUGUGCAGAAGCACUUGUGGCCCCUCAAGGACCUCACGCUGACGAGCAAUCAGAGGUACUCCCUGGUCAGGGACAAGUGUUUCCUGUCAGCCACCGAGUGCCUGCAGAAGAUCAUGACCACGGUGGACCCACGGGAGAAGCUGGAGGUGCUGGAGAGGACAUACGGGGAAAUUGAGGGCACGGUGUCGAGGGUAUUGGGCCGGGAGUACAAGCUGCCCAUGGACGACCUGCUGCCACUUCUCAUCUACGUGGUGUCGCGCGCCCGAUGGGGAAGCCAAGGCCCAGAAAAGGGAGGGUCCCAGCCAGGGUGCUGGGGUGCUAGAGGUAGAGUGAGGACCACACCCCAGGUGUCCAGCCAUCCAGGCCAGCGCUCCUUCCCCAGCUGCCUGUCCGCGACAGGCCUCUUCUCCUUGUCUCCCUCGCUCUCUUGGUGGGGCGGUGUUCUCCAGAAUUCAGCACCUGGGAGCCGAGAUCCACCUGAUCCGUGACAUGAUGGACCCCAACCACACAGGAGGCCUGUAUGACUUCCUGCUCACAGCCCUGGAG
rnacentral:lncRNA from 1 species